rnacentral:lncRNA from 1 species
CAAAUUGCCCUAUAUCAGCUCUAGAAAUCAUAGUGUCGUGCUCUCUUAUUUGUCAGUGUUUGAUUUUGCAAAGGGACACAUUUCUGUUUAGCCAAAGUUAGCAGAGAUGCCUCGUACUUGUGUGAACAGUGCAGAUAACUUCUGCUAUGUUUGUGGUGAAGUGACUUUUGCAUCACAAAAGCGCAGUAUAACCACUAUGGUUAAGAGAGCCUAUCACCUUUAUUUUGGCUGCAAAAUUGGAGAUCAGGACAAGAGGUGGGCCCCACACAUAUGCUGCAACACUUGUGCAACAAAGCUUCGCCAGUGGUUGAACAGGAAAAGGAAAUCUAUGCCUUUUGCAGUGCCAAUGAUUUGGAGAGAGCCAACAGAUCAUACCAGCAAUGAUUACUUCUGCAUGAUGCCUCCAGUUGGGAAAGGUAUGUCAAAGAAAAACAAGUGGACUGUGCAUUUUCCAAACAUUCCAUCAGCUAUACGCCCAGUACCCCACGGAGAAGGACUGCCGGUUCCUGAUGCACCAGAAUCAUUCUCACUUGAGUCAGACAAGGAAGAGGAUGAAACUUCUGGUCCUGAACCAUCAAUGUCACAGGACCCACAUUUUCUCCCAUCCUCCUCCUCUGAACCACACCUCAUAACACAAGGUGAGCUGAAUGACCUUGUCAGGGAUUUGGAACUACCUAAGAGUAAGGCAGAGCUGUUGGGCUCCAGACUACAGCAGUGGAAUCUCCUGGCAGGUGAUGUUAGGGUUUCCAUAUUCCGUGACCAUCAAAAGGAUCUUGUCCCAUUCUUCUUCAUGGAAGGUGAUCUUGUAGCCUGCACCAACAUCGAUGGUGUGAUGGCAGCCCUCAACAUCGUUCACGAUCCAGAUGAGUGGAGACUGUUCAUUGAUUCAUCGAAGACGAGUCUUAAAGCUGUUUUACUGCAUAAUGGCAAUGUUUUGCCAUCAAUUCCAGUUGGUCAUGCAGUCCAUAUGAAGGAAACCUAUGACAACAUGAAACAACUUUUGAGAUGCAUAAACUAUGACCAACAUCAGUGGCAGCUUUGUGGCGAUUUGAAGGUUGUUGCUCUCUUGCUUGGUCUGCAGACUGGAUACACAAAGUACUGCUGUUUUCUCUGCGAAUGGGAU